rfam:Desulfuribacillus alkaliarsenatis strain AHT28 DSM-24608_Contig_0_85X, whole genome shotgun sequence.
GGCAUGCUUCAACCGCACGUACAAGGUUUUAAACUAUAAGUAUACAGCUUAAUUAUAAGCUAUAUAGCCUUAUAGACCUUCGACGGCGAGUCUAAGUCUAAUA